rnacentral:rRNA from 1 species
CCUACGGGAGGCAGCAGUGGGGAAUAUUGCGCAAUGGGCGAAAGCCUGACGCAGCGACGCCGCGUGAGGGAUGAAGGUCUUCGGAUCGUAAACCUCUGUCAGCAGGGAAGAACGGUCACUGUGCUAAUCAGCAGUGAAUUGACGGUACCUGCAAAGGAAGCACCGGCUAACUCCGUGCCAGCAGCCGCGGUAAUACGGAGGGUGCGAGCGUUAAUCGGAAUUACUGGGCGUAAAGCGCUCGUAGGCGGUAUGUCAAGUCAAGGGUGAAAUCCCCGCGCUCAACGUGGGAACUGCUUUUGAAACUGGCAAACUGGAGUGUGUGAGAGGAUAGUGGAAUUCCAGGUGUAGGAGUGAAAUGCGUAGAUAUCUGGAGGAACAUCAGUGGCGAAGGCGACUAUCUGGCACAUAACUGACGCUGAGGAGCGAAAGCGUGGGUAGCAAACAGGAUUAGAUACCCUGGUAGUC